rfam:Picea glauca, whole genome shotgun sequence.
ACAUGCCUACAUCAUAGAAUUGAUGCAUCGAAUCCCAUUAGAACUCUAUAGUUAAGCAUGCUCAAGCUAGAGUAGUACUGGGAUGGGUGAUCGCCCGAGAAGUCCUAGUGUUUUACGUUCC